AGACAAAUGUUUUAUGGGUAAUAUUAGAAACUAACUAUAGAAUUGAAAAGAAUUGAGUAACUAACCAUUGUCAGUUUUUCUAUGGAUAAAUAACUAUAUGACGGCAUAAGAAAGUACAAAACUAUCCUUGCAAGUUGAACCAAAAGUAAGUUUAUGCAGAUAUAUUUGAUGUUUUUUAGUAAAUCGCAUGAAACAUGUUAAAAUGACACGAUAUUUAUUAAAAAGUGACAUUUU
rnacentral:sRNA from 1 species